rnacentral:rRNA from 1 species
AUUGAACGCUGGCGGCAGGCCUAACACAUGCAAGUCGAACGAGUGGCGGACGGGUGAGUAAUGUCUGGGAAACUGCCUGAUGUAGGGGGAUACCUCCUGGAAACGGUAGCUAAUACCGCAUACCAUCAGAUUUUCCCAGAUGUGAUUAGCUAGUUGGUGGGGUAACGGCUCACCAAGGCGACGAUGCAUAGCCGACCUGAGAGGAUGAUCGGCCACAAUGGAACGGAGACACGGUCCAGACUCCUACGGGAGGCAGCAGUGGGGAAUAUUGCACAAUGGGCGCAAGCCUGAUGCAGCCAUGCCGCGUGAAUGAAGAAGGCCUGCGGGUUGUAAAGUGCUUUCAGCGGGGAGGCGUUACCCGCAGAUGAAGCACCGGCUAACUCCGUGCCAGCAGCCGCGGUAAUUC